rnacentral:rRNA from 1 species
AUAAUGGGUCAGCGACUUAUAUUCUGUAGCAAGGUUAACCGAAUAGGGGAGCCGAAGGGAAACCGAGUCUUAACUGGGCGUUAAGUUGCAGGGUAUAGACCCGAAACCCGGUGAUCUAGCCAUGGGCAGGUUGAAGGUUGGGUAACACUAACUGGAGGACCGAACCGACUAAUGUUGAAAAAUUAGCGGAUGACUUGUGGCUGGGGGUGAAAGGCCAAUCAAACCGGGAGAUAGCUGGUUCUCCCCGAAAGCUAUUUAGGUAGCGCCUCGUGAAUUCAUCUCCGGGGGUAGAGCACUGUUUCGGCAAGGGGGUCAUCCCGACUUACCAACCCGAUGCAAACUGCGAAUACCGGAGAAUGUUAUCACGGGAGACACACGGCGGGUGCUAACGUCCGUCGUGAAGAGGGAAACAACCCAGACCGCCAGCUAAGGUCCCAAAGUCAUGGUUAAGUGGGAAACGAUGUGGGAAGGCCCAG